GCAAACAUUGUUAAAGUAUAAAAAGAUUCUAGUAUUAUUCAAAGAUACUUUUUAUCUUUCUCUAUACAAUUUUUUCCUUGACUAACGUGGAACCAUCUAACAGGUGAAGAGUCUUUUGAAGACCUGACCGAAGAAAGCAAAACACUGGCCUGGAAUAACAUCACCAAACUGCAGUUACACGAGCACUAUAAAAUCCACAAAGAAGCAGUUACUGGAAUCACGGUCUCUCGCAAUGGAUCUUCAGUAUUCACAACAUCCCAAGAUUCCACCUUGAAGAUGUUUUCUAAAGAAUCAAAAAUGCUACAAAGAAGUAUAUCAUUUUCAAAUAUGGCUUUAUCGUCUUGUUUACUUUUACCAGGAGAUGCCACUGUCAUAACUUCUUCAUGGGAUAAUAAUGUCUAUUUUUAUUCCAUAGCAUUUGGAAGACGCCAGGACACGUUAAUGGGACAUGAUGAUGCUGUUAGUAAGAUCUGUUGGCAUGACAACAGGCUAUAUUCUGCAUCGUGGGACUCUACAGUGAAGGUGUGGUCUGGUGUUCCUGCAGAGAUGCCAGGCACCAAAAGACACCACUUUGA
rnacentral:lncRNA from 1 species